rnacentral:lncRNA from 1 species
UGCUGUCCCCAGGGUCCUCAUGGUGUUCCCAGUGUCCCCACAGGGUCCCCAGUGUCCUCACGUGGUCCCCAGGUCCUUCAUGGUGUCCCUGUGCUCCUCAUGCUGUCUCCGGGUUCCCCAGUGUCCCCAAGGUGUCCCCAGCGUCCUCACGGGGUCCCCAGGGGGUCCCCAGGGUGUCCCCAUGGUCCUCAGGGUGUUUCUGGGUUCCCCACAGGGUCCCCAGUGUCCCCAGGGUGUCCCCAGGUCCCUCAUGGUGUCCCCAAGGUCCUCGAGGUGUCUCCGGGUCCCUCAUGGUGUCCCCGUGGUCCUCAUGGUGUCUCCGGGUUCCCCAGUGUCCCCAGGGUGUCUCCAUGGUCGUCGUGUUGUCCCCAGCGUCCUCACGGGGUCCCCAGGGGGUCCCCAGUGUCCCCAGGGGCUCCCCAGGGUCUUCAUGCUGUCCCCAGUGUCCUCACGUGGUCCCCAGGUCCCUCAUGGUGUCCCUGUGGUCCUCAUGCUGUCUCCGGGUUCCCUGGUGUCCCCAUGGUCCUCAUGGUGUCCCCAGUGUCCUUACAGUGUCCCCAGGGUGUCCCCAAGGUCCUCAGGGUGUCUCCGGGUUCCCCACAGGGUCCCCAUGGUCCUCAUGCUGUCCCCAGUGUCCCCAGGGUGUCCCCAGUGUCCUCACGUGGUCCCCAGGUCCCUCAUGGUGUCCCCGUGGUCCUCAUGCUGUCUCCAGGUUCCUCAGGGUCCCCAGUGUCCCCACGGUGUCCCCAUGGUCCUCAUGGUGUCCCCAGCGUCCUCACGGGUUCCCCAGUGUCCCCAGAGUCCUCAUGGUGUCCCCAGGUUCCUCAUGGUAUCACCACAGGUUCCCCAGUGUCCCCAUGUUGUCCCCACGUGGCCCCCAGGUUUCUCAUGGUGUCCCCAGGGUCCCCAUGGAGUCCUCAAGUUCCCUUCAAUGUCCCCAUGGUGUCCCCAUGGUCCCUGCAGUGUCCCCACAGGGUGUUCUCAGGGUCUCCAUGGUGUCCUCAAGGUCCCUGCAGUGUCCCCAUGGUGUUCCCAGUGUCCCCAUGGUGUCCCCAUUGUCCCCAUGGUGUCCCCAUGGUCCCUGCAGUGCCCCCAAGGUGUUCCCAGGGUCUCUGUGGUGUCUCUCCUGUCCCCAGGGUGUCCCUACUGUCCCCAGUGUCCCCAUGGUGUCCUCAGGAUCCCUGCAGGGUCCC